rnacentral:rRNA from 1 species
UACGUAGGGUGCGAGCGUUACUCGGAAUUACUGGGCGUAAAGCGUGCGCAGGCGGCGCGUUAAGACAGGUGUGAAAGCCCCGAGCUUAACUUGGGAAUUGCGCUUGUGACUGGCGUGCUGGAGUGUGGCAGAGGGAGGUGGAAUUCCACGUGUAGCAGUGAAAUGCGUAGAGAUGUGGAGGAACACCGAUGGCGAAGGCAGCCCCCUGGGCUAACACUGACGCUCAGGCACGAAAGCGUGGGGAGCAAACAGG